rnacentral:lncRNA from 1 species
ACCUGAGACUGGGUUGUUAUACAAAAAGCACAAGGCAGGCUCCCCUCACCCAGGACAGGCAGUCCCCUCACUCACCCAGGAAAGGCACUCCCCUACCAAAGCCAGCCCACAGACCAGGACAGCCCCUGAGGUCGCUCACCUGCACUGGGAGCCAACUUUCAAGGAUAGCUUGAGGAAGUUCUGCUUCUGACCUGCACACCUGCUGUCCUCCACACCCCGUCUCCACCUACUUGAACCUGGGGCUGUGGUGGGAGGAGCAGGCUGCUCUCUAGCUGCUGCUCUGGCAUCUACUAAUUUUACUCUAUCUCAUUAAUUCCAGGCUUACAUCUUGCUCCUGUGGAGGGAGGAAGAGCAGCGUCCCUAGUUGUCAGGACGGACUUUGGAACUGACCUGGGGAUGACAGAGAAGGCAGGACUAGGGACACCCUCCCGCUUACUGUGGACCUUGUCCUCUGCCCUUCUUACUUGGGCCAGGCCAGAUGGAGUCAAGUAACAAGUGACUGAGCGUCCAGAGGCUACAGGGCUGGGUGCUGCAGAGCUGCAGAGCUGCAAAUGUAGG